GAUGAAGAACGUAGCAAAAUGCGAUAAGCAAUGUGAAUUGCAGAAUUCAGUGAAUCAUCGAAUCUUUGAACGCACAUUGCGCCCGCCAGUAUUCUGGCGGGCAUGCCUGUUCGAGCGUCAUUUCAACCCUCAAGCACAGCUUGGUGUUGGGACUCGCGUUAAUUCGCGUUCCCCAAAUUGAUUGGCGGUCACGUCGAGCUUCCAUAGCGUAGUAGUAAAACCCUCGUUACUGGUAAUCGUCGCGGCCACGCCGUUAAACCCCAACUUCUGAAUGUUGACCUCGGAUCAGGUAGGAAUACCCGCUGAACUUAAGCAUAUCAAUAAGCGGAGGA
rnacentral:misc_RNA from 1 species